GCAUUACUGGGGCGUAAAGCGCRCGCAGGCGGUCUGUCAAGUCGGAUGUGAAAUCCCCGGGCUCAACCUGGGAACUGCAUUCGAUACUGGCAGGCUAGAGUCUUGUAGAGGGGGGUAGAAUUCCAGGUGUAGCGGUGAAAUGCGUAGAGAUCUGGAGGAAUACCGGUGGCGAAGGCGGCCCCCUGGACMAAGACUGACGCUCAGGUGCGAAAGCGUGGGGAGCAAACAGGAUUAGAUACCCUGGUAGUCCACGCCGUAAACGAUGUCAACUUGGAGGUUGUGCCCUUGAGGCGUGGCUUCCGGAGCUAACGCCUUAARUCUACCGCCUGGGGAAUACGGGCGCGAGGWUWAAACUCAAAUGAAUUGACGGGGGCCCGCACCARCCGUGGAACAUGUGGUUUAAUUCGAUGCCACCCGAAGAACCUUACCUACUCUUGACAUCCACAGAACUUUCCAGAAAUGGAUUGGUGCCUUCGGGAACUCUGAGACAGGGGCUGCAUGGCUGUCGUCAGCUCCUGUUCUUAAGWGUUCGGUUAAGUCCCCCCACCAACGCAACCCUUAUCCUUUGUUGCCAKCGGUUAGGCCGGGAACUCAAAGGAGACUGCCAGUGAUACACUGGAUGAAGGUGGGGAUGACACCUAGUCAUCACGUCCCUUACCAGUAGGGCUACACACGUGCUACAACGGCGCAUGCACAAAUAAAYGACCUCGCGAUAGCAAACGNACCUCAUAGAGCGCGUCCUACUCCCGAUAGUACUCUGCAACUCGACUCCAUNAAACCCGAAUCCCUAAUAAUCUUNNAUCACAAUGCUACUGUGAAUACUUUCCCCNGCCUUGUACCC
rnacentral:rRNA from 1 species